rnacentral:misc_RNA from 1 species
CUACUCUUUUUUUUUUUUUUUUGGUAUUUUGUUAAAGGGUUUCCAGACGGAGGAUGAGAGAAGGGCGGGCAGGCAGGCAGGUGGUGUUGGCUGCAAGUUGCAAAAGGUGAAUUGUAUAUUACAAGACAACUAAAAAAGCUGAAAAAUUAGGUGCAACAAUUUAAAUGAAAAAAAUAGAAAAAAUAAUUAACUGUCAAUUUGUUCUGUUCAUAUGUA